rnacentral:rRNA from 1 species
UUGAACGCUGGCGGAAUGCUUUACACAUGCAAGUCGAGCGGCAGCGCGGGGGCAACCCUGGCGGCGAGCGGCGAACGGGUGAGUAACACAUCGGAACGUACCCAGUUGUGGGGGAUAGCCCGGCGAAAGCCGGAUUACUACCGCAUAGGACCUGAGGGUGAAAGGGGGGGAUCGCAAGACCUCUCGCAGUUGGAGCGGCCGAUGGCGGAUUAGCUAGUUGGUGGGGUAAAGGCCUACCAAGGCGACGAUCCGUAGCUGGUCUGAGAGGACGACCAGCCACACAGGAACGGAGACACGGGCCAGACUCCUACGGGAGGCAGCAGUGGGGAAUUUUGGACAAUGGGGGCAACCCUGAUCCAGCCAUUCCGCGUGAGUGAAGAAGGCCUUCGGGUUGUAAAGCUCUUUCGGCAGGAACGAAACGGUGCGGGCCAAUACCCCGCAUCAAUGACGGUACCGGAAGAAGAAGCACCGGCUAACUACGU